rnacentral:lncRNA from 1 species
CAUGGGUAUGAUUCAAAGUGGGCAUGAAGGAGGGGUGCAGGUGCCCGAGUGAUAUGGUUUGGCUGUGUCCCCACCCAAAUCUCAUAUUGAAUUGUAGCUCUCAUAAUUCCCACGUGUUGUUGGAGGGACCCAGUGGCAGAUAAUUGAAUCAUGGGGGCGGUUUCCCCCGUACUGUUCUCAUGGUAGUGAAUAAGUCUCAGGAGAUCUGAUGUUUUUAUAAGGGAAACCCCUUUUGCUUAGCUCUCAUUCUCCCUUGUCAGCCACCAUGUAAGAUGCACUUUUCACCUUCUACCAUGAUUGUGAGGCCUCCCCAACUACGUGAGACCAGAGCUCUGCUUCUGGUUUCCUGAUGAGACCCUGACUGAUCCAGAAGAGACGGUGCCUAUACUAGUCAAGGGCAGGAACCUCCAGGCUGAGGAGCUGGACUCUGUACCUGUCUUCUUUGUCUCACUGCAUCGGGCUGUGCCCUGAGCCUCAUCUUCAGAAAAUGGAGGGAAGUAAGUCCUGGGUGACCGCAGGAUCCCUGUAGCACAGCUCCCCCAAGGUCUUAAUGAAGUGCCAUUACACCUCUCAGCUAAUAUAAUCCCCAGGAAAGGGGCAGGGCAGACAGAUGGCAGAGAGGGAGACUGAGUCAUACUCACUAGCUAGGCCACACAGCUAGUUAGAAAUAGAAGCAGGCCUGGGACUCUUCCUCCCAAUAUUCCGCCCCCUUCCACAAAGACCCAGAGGCUCCCUGCCUCCUCCCUACUUUUAAUUCGAAAGGUAAUAGUUCCCACACUAUUAACUAGCUGUGUGAACUUUCUCAUGUUACUUUUCUCUGAGCCUUGGUUAUCUCAUUGGUUAAGUGAAGCAGGUAAACUAGAUGUUCUCAAAGUGCUUUUUCAGCUAUGACAUGCUGUGAUUUGAUGAUUUUUCCUCAAUGAAACCAAAGGGUUCAAUUUAUCUCCCCGAAGAUUUUCUAUGUUCUAUGCUCAGCUUUUGAUUUGACAUAAUUAUAGCACUUACAUUUAGUGCAAAUUCACAUAAUCAUUGCAUGAGUUAUUAAUUAUUUUUAAGCAUUGGCAUAGUACUCACUGAACCUGAGGAUGUACACAUUGGUUAGGACCAGGGGUGAGUUAAGCAACCAGAGGUCUGGGACUGCAGUUAACCUAUCAAGCCAGGGAGUUCAUGGAACUUAAGUCUGGUUAAACCAAAAAGGGGCCAGGGAUUCUAAGGCCAUGUUGUGUACUGAUGAGCUACUUUAAUCUGCCUAAUCCUACAGAGUGAUGUACAGAUCUGUGAUAGGUUUAGCAUGAACAUACUUUCAAUGUAUGUCUUAAUUUUGUUUGUGCUUAGCCUUCUAAAAAAAAAAGGUAUUUUGCCAAAAAGUGGCAAAACUGUUAAUUAGCCCAUUCCCCACAGCCUGGAAAAACAUGGAGCUUACACUGGGUUUUGUCCUCCAUGUAACAAAAGCCUUAGCUUUCGGGAGGAGGGAAGGAAACCAUCUGGGACCAGACUAAGAGGAAUCUCCUUCUGCUGGGAGACGGGCAGAUCACAACACCCAGGGACAAGGCUAAGGCACAAGCACACAAGGAAGGCCUAAGGCUAAGAGUGAAGCAGAAACACUGAGAAAAACCCUCUGGCAACCCAGCCUCCAUCUUAAGAAUAAGAAAAUGCUAGAGGAAUUUAAAGCUGGUGGUGCACUGAAGAUAAAACCCAAACCUAGAGCAGCAAAACCCAAAUCCAAGUCAACUUCUGACUAGAUUGACUCAACCACCCACAUCAAGGGGCAAACUUUGUCUACAAAGGACCAGUAUAUAGCAAAUAUUUUAGGUGUUGUGGGCCAUGUGGGCUCUGUUGCAACUAUUCAACUCUGCUGUUGAAGCAUGAAAGCAGCCAUAGACAAUAUGUAAAUGAAUGAACAUGGUUAUGUUCCAAUAAAUCUUUAUUUAUAGACACUGAAAUUUGAGUUUUAUAUAAUUGUCUUAUGUUGUAUAAUUACUAUUCUUCUUUUGAUAUCCAUUUGA